ensembl:lncRNA
CAGCAUUGCUGCUUUACCAGGUAUAACAAUUAAGUUUAACAUCCAGGCAUCCAUUAAAACAGAAUUUAUUAAGUUUAACAGAGUUAGACGUUAGCAGGAAGUUAGCUCGCUAGUUUCCACCUAAACAUGAUAUACCAUGUUCUGACUGAGAGAUUUCUGAAAAAAUUAAAACAUACAGCUCUGCUAUCACUUCCAACAUAAAUGAAGACAGAAAAAAAAACAGCAGUGACUUUUGUAGGGUUAGUGAAGUUGGACUAGCUGGUAUAUAAUGAUGUGCUACGUGAUCGCUAGCGACACAGCUAUGUUAGCAUAACAUAAACACAGGAUGAAUGCUAACUUUUUUCCACUCGAUAAAAGUUAACGUGAGGGUUCCCGAUGGUUAGGGACAAAUGCAAUCGCAUGGCAGGAUGCUGUAAACGGACCAAACUUCAGUCAGGAGAACAACUGAGAUAAUCCAUUCACAAUACGAGAGGGCUGGUUGCAGUUUUGUCCCAGCAGGCAAGUUGGGUUGACCGCCCAAUUGUGUACAUUAGCUGGAAAUUGUCAGAUGAAGAAGCCCGGUAUACCACCGUGGAGAAAGAGUGCUUCGUAGCUGCCAGGGAUGGAGAAAGGAGAAGUCGGAGCAGCUGAUCGAGCGAUGACAGGAGCAGAAACGCCAAGCAGACUGUCAACCAUUGGGUGCGAGGGUUUUGGAAAGUUACCAAAAAGCAGCUAUGACUGUGUCGUCUAAGGCAGGAGUGGAAAAUAAAAGCAAAAGAACACG